AACCUUUGAAGCCUCUAGUUUUGAAGGAAACAUUGAUCUUUAUGGUGAACAACUUAACAAAACUUGUCCUGGGGAUGGAGAUCAGACAACAGCAGAGCAUCAAGAACCACCAGUCAAAGGUGAUGAUUCAGUUUUCUAUGAGGGAUUAUACAUGAGCUUGGGGAUUGGAUACUUCACUGGAUUUUGGGGCUUAUUAGGGCCAUUACUACUGUGGCGUCCUUGGAGAAUUGCUUACAUCAGGUUUCUGAACAGAUUAACAGACUUUGUAUAUGUAUGUUUAUUGUGAAUGUGGGAAUUGUUGCUGAUCGCUCCAAGGCAAAAAGAUGUGCUGCAGGCUUCUGAUCAGAGAAGAAACCAUUGUUGGCAGCUACAAAUGCGAGAUAAUUUCUUUAAUAUAGGAGUUUACAAUGUUUUGUAUUUAAGUAAUGAACUGCAAAAUCUUGUUUCCAGAAACUUAGUAUGCUAUUGUUGUAUUUAUUGUAUAAUAUAUUUGUAAUGCUGUUUGUUUUUCAUUAUUGUGCUUAGAUCUGUGAUAUCUAAAAUUUCACCACUUCC